rnacentral:rRNA from 1 species
UACGUAGGUGGCGAGCGUUGUCCGGAAUUACUGGGCGUAAAGGGCGCGUAGGCGGCCUGUCAAGUCAGAUGUGAAAUCCCCGGGCUUAACCCGGGAACUGCAUUUGAAACUGGCGGGCUUGAGGGCAGGAGAGGAAAGCGGAACUCCCAGUGUAGCGGUGAAAUGCGUAGAUAUUGGGAGGAACACCAGUGGCGAAGGCGGCUUUCUGGACUGUCACUGACGCUGAGGCGCGAAAGCCAGGGGAGCGAACGGGAUUAGAUACC